GAUGAACGCUGGCGGCGUGCCUAAUACAUGCAAGUCGAGCGAACGGACGGGAAGCUUGCUUCUCUGAUGUUAGCGGCGGACGGGUGAGUAACACGUGGAUAACCUACCUAUAAGACUGGGAUAACUUCGGGAAACCGGAGCUAAUACCGGAUAAUAUUUUGAACCGCAUGGUUCAAAAGUGAAAGACGGUCUUGCUGUCACUUAUAGAUGGAUCCGCGCUGCAUUAGCUAGUUGGUAAGGUAACGGCUUACCAAGGCAACGAUGCAUAGCCGACCUGAGAGGGUGAUCGGCCACACUGGAACUGAGGCACGGUCCAGACUCCUACGGGAGGCAGCAGUAGGGAAUCUUCCGCAAUGGGCGAAAGCCUGACGGAGCAACGCCGCGUGAGUGAUGAAGGUCUUCGGAUCGUAAAACUCUGUUAUUAGGGAAGAACAUAUGUGUAAGUAACUGUGCACAUCUUGACGGUACCUAAUCAGAAAGCCACGGCUAACUACGUG
rnacentral:rRNA from 1 species